rnacentral:rRNA from 1 species
CUACGGGAGGCUGCAGUGGGGAAUAUUGCACAAUGGGCGCAAGCCUGAUGCAGCCAUGCCGCGUGUAUGAAGAAGGCCUUCGGGUUGUAAAGUACUUUCAGCGGGGAGGAAGGGAGUAAAGUUAAUACCUUUGCUCAUUGACGUUACCCGCAGAAGAAGCACCGGCUAACUCCGUGCCAGCAGCCGCGGUAAUACGGAGGGUGCAAGCGAUAAUCGGAAUUACUGGGCGUAAAGCGCACGCGGCGGUUUGUUAAGUCAGAUGUGAAAUCCCCGGGCUCAACCUGGGAACUGCAUCUGAUACGGGCAAGCUUGAGUCUCGUAGAGGGGGGUAGAAUUCCAGGUGUAGCGGUGAAAUGCGUAGAGAUCUGGAGGAAUACCGGUGGCGAAGGCGGCCCCCUGGACGAAGACUGACGCUCAGGUGCGAAAGCGUGGGGAGCAAACAGGAUUAGAUACCCCCGUAGUC